GGAAGCGAGCGUACACAGGUGCUGCAUGGCUGUCGUCAGCUCGUGCCGUGAGGUGUCGGGUUAAGUCCCAUAACGAGCGCAACCCUACCCUUUAGUUGCCAUCAGGUAAUGCUGGGGACUCUAAAGGAACUGCCUACGCAAGUAGUGAGGAAGGCGGGGAUGACGUCAAAUCAGCACGGCCCUUACGUCCAGGGCUACACACGUGCUACAAUGGCCGAUACAGAGGGCAGCUACCUGGUGACAGGAUGCAAAUCUCCAAAGUCGGUCUCAGUUCGGAUCGGAGUCUGCAACCCGACUCCGUGAAGUUGGAUUCGCUAGUAAUCGCGCAUCAGCCAUGGCGCGGUGAAUACGUUCCCGGGCCUU
rnacentral:rRNA from 1 species